CAACGACUCUCGACAACGGAUAUCUCGGCUCUCGCAUCGAUGAAGAACGUAGCGAAAUGCGAUACUUGGUGUGAAUUGCAGAAUCCCGUGAACCAUCGAGUCUUUGAACGCAAGUUGCGCCCGAAGCCCUAGGCUGAGGGCACGUCUGCCUGGGUGUCACGC
rnacentral:rRNA from 1 species